GAAUUUUCCGCGCAGAGUGGAAUUUCUCUUUGUCUUUUCUAAUUAGUUCCACCCAAGACAAAGAAAAAUUCCACUCCACACGGAAAAUUCCGCCUAGU